GUGUUUGCUUAAGCAGCACAUAUACUAAGAUUGGAACAAUACAGAGAAGAUUAGCAUGGCCCCUGCACAAGGAAUACACACAAAUUUGUGAAACAUUCCAUAUUUUU